rnacentral:rRNA from 1 species
AACAGAGGGGGCAAGUAUUAUUCUUCAUUAUUGGGCGUAAAGGAUAAGUAGGUUGCUUUUAAAUUUAGUAUUUAAAGUCUAUAUAAAAAUAUAGGAUUUUCUAUAUAUUAAAAAGCUUUGAGUUUAUAAAAGAUAAUAGAACUCACUAAAGUAACGGUAAAUGUCUAAAUUUAGGAGGAAUUCUAAUAGGCGAAAGCAUUUAUCUAGGUAAAACUGACACUGAAUUAUGAAGGUUUGGGAGCAAACAGG